rnacentral:ncRNA from 1 species
CCUGUGGAGUGUUAUAUCAAAUUGUAUUAGAUUAUCCGCAAGGAUUUUCGAGGCGAGACACAGCGAAGCAGGAA